UGCAUUAACAUAAACUUGAUACCUAUAUCAGGGUAAUUUAACUUGUGCUUUCUUUAUAAAUAAUUUUAUUUUAACCCAACCUCAAAUUUGGUUCGGACAAAAUUGGCCACAGCAACAACAAAUUUCGUUUUGGUGUAAGCAGCUGACGCAUUCCGAUUUGGUUAUCGGAACGUUGGCAAGUAAUAAAUUUUUGCGUAUAACAGCACAAAUGUGCAUGUAACAGCUCAGACUGUGCUUGUAACAUGCGCUUAACAGAACAUCUGGGUGAGCACAGCUGUUUCCCGCCCAAUUUAAUUCGGACUUCAAAAUGGGAAAGCAUAAAUCAAGAUGAAAUCCUGGUGGGUUUUAUGAAAGACAACCCGGACAGAGCUUUGCGGCGCUCUCAAUGCUGUUGGGUUGCCAAUCAAGGACGCAUUGGGUUGGAAAAAGGUUUGGGCAGAUUGGAAAACAAACAUCCGCAAGAAGAUGGCGAAAAACAAAUCAGAAACUCGAGCUACAGGUGGAGGGCCCUUCGCUCAGCAAUCGCUUGGGGAAUUGGAGGAGGAAGUGGCCAAGCUAUGGGGCCACUAGCAAUAUAUAUGUGGCAAUAUUCCCUAGCAGGGGAGUGAUUCCAAAUGAUGGAGUCAUGGCAGGAACCAGGGUGCGUGGCAUCAAUAGCAAUUAUCUCCAUGUUGUAGUUACACACCACCAUGGCAUUCAUGCUAUAAAAUCAUUUCCUAUUAUAGAACACGGAGUGGUUUUGUACAGGCUUUAGUAUUCUGAUGUGAGUUCCAUCCACACAGGCACCAAUUCGAGGCAAUUUAAAGUUCCGAUAGAAAUAUUCAUAUGAUUGUCCAUCAACGGAAUAAGUUUGUGAAGAAUCUUUCCAAAUGUACUGCGUCCAAUGUUUAUAUGGUGGUCUUUGGCAACUGCCCACUGGUAGCAGCCAGUGGCGAGAUAUCACAUUACUGAAGCCAAUUGCGUAGAGGGAGAUAACUUCCUGGUAACACCUUAAUGGGGUUGAACUUUCUCCAAAAUCAUUUUGAAAGUUUUUUUGUCGAUCCGAAAUGACUUCACAAAUCUGAAAGCUUUACCAUUAGCAAUUUAAUUUUCAAUACGCAUGCUGUUACUCACAGUUCGUCAGACAUGUUAAAUACACAAGUGUUGCAUCUAAGAUGUCUAGAUCUUCUUAGAUCACGUAAUUUCUGCAAUCGUUUUGCUUCAAAACAAGCAAUUGAAAAAAUAAAAGGCAUUUUAAUCACGCUGUAUUUUUACAAAGCAGCCAGGUCAGCUGUUUUUGUUUG